AUCCAGCUGACGAGUCCCAAAUAGAACGAAACGCAUGUCCUGAAU
rnacentral:hammerhead_ribozyme from 1 species